ACACACACACACACACACCUUUAUAGGGGAGAAAUCAAACACAUGAGAAGAUGCAGUGCUGUAGUGCCUCUCGGUGGAUCCAGCUGAAUGAUCACCUAUACUAAUGUGAUGUAACUAGUGCAGGGUUCUGAUUGGUCGUCUGGCUGACGGUGAGCUGCAGGGUGUGUGCGCGACUGUUUAACUUAUCAUAAUCAUGAAUAUUCAUCAGUCUCUCUCUCUCUUAGACUGGAGUGUGUUUCUAUUGGCUGUCAGCUGCUGGGGGCGUGUCCACUGCUGAUUGGCUGUCCAUCUUGAGCCUGUCUGGUUUCCAUGGAGACGCAGGGGUCUAUUGUGGAGGUCCAGUGUGAGCCGCUGGUGUUCAGUGCUGAUGUAGCAGACGGAUGUUGGUGAGGAUGGAGCGAACUAUGUUUGCAGUUGAAUCUCAACAACAGCAGUGAUCAGACGACAUUAAGGAGCAGAUCAACAGCGAGCAUGUUCAGAGUGUGGGAAUGCACAGAGCAUUGCUGUCUGCAGAGAGAUGAGCAACCAUCAGGACUUCUGCAUUGUCUUGGAGGAUGAGUGAGUUAUAGCUGCUUGGAAAAUUGCUGAACUGAAUUAAUAGAAAUAUUUCACAAAUUAAAAUCACUCAAAAACAAACGUAUAAUACGUUUCUGACACAAAGUCACUGCUACAACCUUUUGAGGAAUAUUCACUGCAUUGAUUGGUUGAUUAUAUUGCAUAUAGGAUACAGCGUUUACACUGGUUUUAUAUGUUGUGCAAUACACAGAUUGUCUAAAAUGGGAAUAUUCCUACAGAAGAAAGUUGACAGAAUAUUUUCCCAUGA